CGGGUGGUCGUCGAGGUUGAAGUUGCGGGCCUCCCGGGCCUGCGCGGAGGUGACGAUGUUCCAGCCGGCCCGUCCGCC
rnacentral:tRNA from 1 species